AUUUUUGUCAAUAAAAACGGUGGAGUUAUGUUCUUUUUUUUUGCACUGUAAAAAAAAUUGCAUUAUUUUCGAUACAUUAAACGUCAAACGAAUAUAAUUUGAAUCGAAAUGCCAAGGAGGAUUUAGAUUUCUUCUCUGACUUUAAAAACAGUCAGAGAAUGUGUUUUCUUCAGCUUUAACGCUUACAAAAUGCAAAAAGGUUUUAAGGUGGCAAGCAGCCAAACAUCAGGUAGUAUAGUAAAAAGAUGCAGUAUGGCCUUCACAUUGCUAAAAGCGUUUCACCAUAUGGAACUUUUCUCAGUGAAUUCUUUAGCCGUUCUGUUUGGAGCUGUCAUUGCAUUGACCCAGUCAAGGAGCUUUAUAUUCUAAAAGCUAGAGUAGUAGAAGAUGGGAGGAGGAGAGCAUAUAUAAUUUUAUGUCUUGGAGCAUGGAAGACAUUAAAGUGUCAUCUCCCCGGACGUCGAAUUGUUUUUGGAUCCCGAGUCGAAGAGUAAAAUAAAUGAAAAGUACUCUGUUAGAUAGAAAGAAAUCAAAGUCUCUAGAGAAGCACUAAAAAAUCCUUUUCUUGUUUCUUUAUAAAAGAAAACCCUUAGUGCAACAAUUCAUAGUUUUUCUCUCUUUCUCUCGUACAAAGAAACUAUUAUAAUAUUGCAAAUAAUUCAGAAUAUAAAUUUUAUUCAAUGAAAAGCAUUAUAAAACUCAACAGAGGAAAGGAAAAUAACAAUAAUAAAAAAAAAUAUUCUCUAACUUUUAAUCGAUCAGAAUUGAGCAUUUAUUCUCGACAGUUUAUUUAAAAGAUUUAUUGGACGAAAGAAAACAUCUCAAACAUUUUACAAUUGCAUACAUAUAUGUUUAUAAAAUGUAUACAUGUAUAUAAAUAUAUAGAUUAUAUACUGUUUGGAAUUCAGUGGAUUAUUACAUAAUAUGAUAUCCGAUAGUAAAUCAAAAUCAUUUCAAACUUCUAUCUAUCAAAACAAUGGACAUGUUGACCAGAAAACAAGACAUCUGGUGAUUUAGACUAGGACAGCUCCUAUCUUGUGACAAUGUAUCGAUAGCGCAUGCGUUUGCUUUCAGCGCUGAGUUUGUGAAUGUUCUGUGGUCGAACGUGAAGUACAGUCGUGUGUCCAGCGCUGUACUCCACAGCUCCUCUUCAAACCAUGUGCAGGGUUCUUUCCAUUGCUAUAGAGUAAGCACACUGUCUUAUGCUUGGAUAACUGCCGACGAUACAGCUCAAUUGAUCGGUGUUUUUGGCUAGUAGACUUUUUUGUUGUGAUAAAUAACUCUAACUAAUGAUCAAAAGAACAUGUUUCGUUAUAUUGUUUCGAUGUUUCCGAAUGCUUUAAUCGAGAUAACUAGGUGAUGAGACUUUGUACAACUUUCUGAAAUGUUAUUUAUUUCGAGAACAAAGUUUUCUUUUUGUAUAUUCUUUAUUGUAAGAGGUGAG
rnacentral:lncRNA from 1 species